rnacentral:snoRNA from 1 species
CUCGCACCCAAACCCAAGAAUCGCUGCUGCUCGUAGCAGCGGUUUAAACAGAGGUGCGGACAGCAAGUGGAUCUCGUCGCCUUUGGGGAGCUGUGGCUGUGCCCCUCAGAGUGAAUUUGGAGGUUCUACAUUC